CACAAGUAAUUAGCCAGGAGGGCUAGUACAGGCUCUUCUGAAGUGUGUGCUGCUGCAGUUUGUUUCACUGUUCCAGUACCCAAGCUUGUUAGGUUAAAGCUAGCUCAGAUGGUUCAUGCUUCCUCCUUUGAGUAGUCUAUAUCUCUGGUUUCACUUCUGCCCGUAUCUGGCUCUCCCCUGUUGCAGAGAGGAAGUAGAUGCUGGCUAUAUGAGACUUCCACCGUCUGAUACUGCAGUGAGUAGUCUGCUUUCAGGAACCUCGUGGAAUGGAAAGGGCAUUGGCAAUUCUAGCAAGUACCUCCUACAAGACCACAUUCCAUGGGAGCCACUACAUGCCUGCCAUAUGCAGAGGAAACAUUCCGGUUACUUUGACAUCCUGCUUGCAUGUAUCAUUAUUGUGGGAACUCACCAAGUAUUAGAUGGUCACAGGACUUUAAGAUACAUCGGCAUCAAUAUCUGCUGUGGUUGCCAUAGUGACUUUUGUUUCCCCCCUUCUCCCCUGCUCUGUUGUCCCUGAUCUUUGAAGAGAGAGGAUUCUGGUGGUUUCAAUCAACCACUGGGCAAGAAG